rnacentral:rRNA from 1 species
AUAUUGCACAAUGGGGGAAACCCUGAUGCAGCGACGCCGCGUGAGUGAAGAAGUAAUUCGUUAUGUAAAGCUCUAUCAGCAGGGAAGAAAGUGACGGUACCUGAGUAAGAAGCACCGGCUAAAUACGUGCCAGCAGCCGCGGUAAUACGUAUGGUGCAAGCGUUAUCCGGAUUUACUGGGUGUAAAGGGAGCGUAGACGGAUAGGCAAGUCUGGUGUGAAAACCCGGGGCUCAACCCCGGGCCUGCAUUGGAAACUGUUUUGCUCGAGUGCCGGAGAGGUAAGCGGAAUUCCUAGUGUAGCGGUGAAAUGCGUAGAUAUUAGGAGGAACACCAGUGGCGAAGGCGGCUUACUGGACGGUAACUGACGUUGAGGCUCGAAAGCGUGGGGAGCAAACA